rnacentral:rRNA from 1 species
CAGCAGCCACGGGAACACGUAGGGUGCGAGCGUUAAUCGGAAUUACUGGGCGUAAAGCGUGCGCAGGCGGCUUUGCAAGACAGAUGUGAAAUCCCCGGGCUCAACCUGGGAACUGCAUUUGUGACUGCAAGGCUAGAGUGCGGCAGAGGGAGAUGGAAUUCCGCGUGUAGCAGUGAAAUGCGUAGAUAUGCGGAGGAACACCGAUGGCGAAGGCAAUCUCCUGGGCCUGCACUGACGCUCAUGCACGAAAGCGUGGGGAGCAAACAGGAUUAGAUACCCCGGUAGUCCCUGUCUCUUAUAC